rnacentral:lncRNA from 1 species
AAAUAAAUCCUCAGCAACAAAUUCUGGUGACUCAGGAAAGGAUGUAAUGGAAAUUAUACCCUUGGACAAUGGUUCCAAAAUACCAA